AAGUCGUAACAAGGUUUCCGUAGGUGAACCUGCGGAAGGAUCAUUAAUACGUUUGUAACAAAACGUCUAAACCCAAAGGAAUCGUGAACUAGUGUUUUACGGGUUCGCAUUUGUGAGACCUCUCGGGUCUGGAGCUUUUUGGGCCUUCAUGGUUCAAACAUCUCAGUGUAGAGCAGUGAGAUGACAUCACAGCAAUGUGUGUGGUUCUGAAAUACAAAUGCUUAUCGGUUAAUUCUUGCUCUACAUUUUUUCAAAUCAACUUGAACUAAAAACCUUUCUUUGUCUUGGAGCAAUCCGAGAGAAGAAAAAAAUAACCGAAAUUAAGAACAACUCUCUUAACAACGGAUAUCUUGGUUCUC
rnacentral:misc_RNA from 1 species